AGGAGGAGUGUGGAGCAGAGCUUUGCUCAGGAUCAGACUCUGAAUGUAUGGACGCUCUGUAUGGCAGUGAGGAUCACAACGGCCACACAAGGCCACAACAGUGCCAGUCUUGGUUUAUUUCAACUCUGAGAGUGCCAGUCACUUCGGCUUAAUUAUUCUUUCCAUAAUGCCCAUCUGGAGAUAAUCUCAAAUAAGCAGACUUGGGUCGACUGAUGAAACAUGAAGAAGGACAUUCAGGUUUACAGAGCACACAGAUUCAAUGCAGCUGUGGACCCUCCGCAGUUACAUAAUAAGCGUUUCGGCGGCUUGCGUGUGACGAGAUCAUCUUCUCUUCAUCCCCUCACACUCUCAGAGAGAGCGGCGACAGAUGGCUCUUUGUUAGAGAUAUAUGGUUUGUGAGUUUAAGCCAAACUUUCUGUCAAGAGGAGGUAAAAGGCUGUCACAACUAUCCGUAGCUGAACCCUGAAAUGUAAAUCUAUUUGCUGCUUUUUCCCUGCUCUGAGCAUCUCACCAGGCUGAAGUCAAUUAGCCGGCUGUUGAAGGGUUGUGGUAGACUGUGUGCUGGGUUACCGGAUGAAAUUAGAUUCAGA